AGAAAAAAAGGCAUUGAAGUAAACUUGGUAAAAGCCUACACUGAGGAGGCAGAUAUAAACUUACUCUCAACUAUAUGGAUCCAUAGCGUCUCAGACUGGAACACAGCCAUACAAUGUUAUGUUUAAACAUCAAUAAAGCUUCACGUUUAGGUGCAUGGCCUGGGAAGUAAGUUUUUGGUAAAGCCAUUUAAGACUUUAGUUCCAGCUUAGCAUUUUCAGGGCCCUGCUUCCUUUCUCACUGUAUGCUCAUGUGAUACAUUUGCCAUUUGGGUCCUGCCUGGAUGUCUUCACUUUCCCAAGUUAGUUAAUUGACUUAUAUUCAUCUAAGCGGCUCAUUAAACUCAUCUGGGCUGCAGAAGUUGGGAAGAAAAACGACCUCUGACCUACUUAUUCUGUGGCUUCUCUACAGGACAUAAGCAAUAAUAGAAAUUACAUUGGUAUACCUAUGUUACCCAUUUUCCAUGUAUAUGUUUAUCUAGCUGCCUAUCUUAUAUAUAUAUCUAUAUGUAUAAAAAAGACUGCCAAAGAAGAGUAGGUUAGAGGUGAUUUUUACUUUAUUGUCCAUUCAGGCCGGGUAAAUCCAAUCAGCCAUUAGCUCAGUGAAGUUUUAUCAAAUCCAAUCCACCACCAAAUCACGUUGUGCUAAAUGUGAAAAUGUCCUCAUUACUGGGCACCAAAGUGUUUUAAAUUCAGAGUCUAAUCAAAAUAGCCCAUGUGGUUCUGUCCAUCCAGCUAGGAAUCUUCAGACAUGCCAGUAGGCCUAAUUUUUUUUCACAAGCUCUGGCCUGACCAAUAAGAACAACCUUUGGUGCUUCAGUGCAGUGUCAUUAUCAAAUGCAGCCAGGUAACAUGUACCAUUAUAUUUGCUUUCAGUAUCAUAAUCUUCUAAUAAGAAACCUAGGCUUUCCAUUAUGAUAAAGACCCUACUUUAGCCAUAAAGACAAAAGGGCAAGAGUGUACUUUCACAUUGCACACUCGUGGAAAUAAAUGAGAACCCCUGUCUUGAUGAAAGUCUUAAUGAGAAGAAAUAAACAUUCUCAAAUUUUGGUGAGAAACUUUGGACUGAGUCUAGUUCAACUUUGGCCCCAUGUGUAACAGAAACAGAAGGAUCAACAUUGACAUGGCAAUGAACGACUUCCAUUGCCUUAGUGCAAUUUUUUUU
rnacentral:lncRNA from 1 species